rnacentral:rRNA from 1 species
UAACACGUAGGAGGCAAGCGUUAUCCGAAUUUACUGGGCGUAAAGCGCGUGCAGGCGGUUCGGUAAGUUGGAUGUGAAAUCUCCUGGCUCAACUGGGAGAGGUCGUUCAAUACUGUCGGACUAGAGGAUGGUAGAGGGAGGUGGAAUUCCCGGUGUAGUGGUGAAAUGCGUAGAUAUCGGGAGGAACACCAGUGGCGAAAGCGGCCUCCUGGACCAUUCCUGACGCUCAGACGCGAAAGCUAGGGGAGCGAACGGGAUUAGACACCCCGGUAGUCCUAGCUGUAAACGAUGUGGACUUGGCGUCGGUGGGGUAAAAGCCAUCGGUGCCGGAGCUAACGCGGUAAGUCCACCGCCUGGGGACUACGGCCGCAAGGUUAAAACUCAAAGGAAUUGACGGGUCCCCGCAC